CUGCGUUUUUCUUUCAGUUUCCAGUAUCCGUAGUUCUCUGUUUGUUUUAAUGAUGUUUUCGUUUUUUUGAGCAAUUAAUAAGAAACUCUGCUAUGUCAUUAAUGUCAGUUCUGCCGCGCUUUUAACUGUGAUUUAGUUUUUCGAAGAUACCCUAUUUUAAAAAACACCACACAACUGAUUCACCUACGUUAGCAGGCGCUACAUAAACGCAUUGUUGUUGACCAAGAAGCGCCUCCAAAGUGUUAAUGCCGUCAUGCAUCAUCAAUAAGCAUCAGGCGUCAGUGCGGGCACACGCAGCGUGGUGACGUCUGUGAUAGCGACAGUUAGGGGUAGAAGGAUAGGGCGGUGAUGUCAGUGGCUAGGGUUCCAGGCUUUGUCGACGGUUGUCAGGUUGUGGAUUUGGCUUCUCGAUCCAGGAUCUGUUUUACGACUGCUCACAUAGGCAAUGGUGUUAGUGAACUUAGCAUCAGUUCAGCACGCUCAGUAGGACGGCUCGGGCGGGGAUGUAUCCAGGUGCUCCUCCACAGGAUGAAGCUACAGCCAAGCCAGCGCCGGGAUCUGCUCAGGAGAGGGUUCACCACAUCUGCAGCAUCUUUGCAGUGUAACUUGAAGAAAGUGGAUCUGCCUCCAUUAGAAAGUCGAAAGUUCUUUUUUGACACUCACGCAGUAGUACGUGAAUUGGAAGGCUAUGGUUUCAGCACUAAGCAGUCAGAAGUUGUGGUAGCUGCACUAAUGAGAGUCAUGAACUCCAGUAUGGAAAUUAUGUAUAAGGAUAUGGCAACCAAAAUUCAACAAGAGGUAAUGCUUCAGCAGAUUAUGUCACAUAUAACUGCUGUGAAAAAGGAUAUGAUCAUAUUGGAGAAGAGUGAGUUUUCAGCAAUACGAGCUGCAAAUGAGAAACUGAAAAUUGAAUUGCAACAGCUCAAAAAACAGUUAGUCGAUGAAGUUGUGAAGAUAUCAUCAAACAACAAAUUAGACAUGAAUUUGGAAAAAAGUAGAGUUCAAGAAAUGUUAACGGGGCAUGAAAGGAGAGUACUGGAAACCAGAGCAGAUAUAGUAGAGUUGCAUUCACAGCAAAACCGAGCAGUGACUCAAAUAAACCGAAAGAUAGACACUGAAGUAGCAGGACUGAAAACUCUGCUAGAAUCACACAAACUUGACACGAUUAAAUAUUUAGCAGGUUCAGUUUUCACGUGUCUUACCAUAGUACUUGGAUUUUAUCGUCUCUGGGUAUGAAAUUUAAUCCCUCACUGGAAUUUAGUAUUCAGCUUCGUUAUCAGGAAAAGGAGCCGUAAUGAUUUAAAAGAAAUCAGACUCUCAAUCAUUUGAAAAGUUUUCUAGACUGAUGUCUUUCCCUCUAACAAAUAUUGACUGACCAACUGUGGGUUUCCACUGCUUAUGGUUUUCAUUUCCAAUCCCAACCAUUAAUACUUAUUUUGAAAUUAGGAACCUGACUGAAGCUUUCAUGGAAAUUGCUAUCUCCAGUCAAGAGCUUACAGCAUAGGAAUACAUGUUUUAAUUAAACCAGUAACAUGUAUUACAAGUGCUAUUUUAUUUAACACUGACCAUUUAAAGAUUAAGUUUAGCCCUCAGAUGUGGUCACAUAUGCUUAAUGUACCAAUCUGCAAAUCUACCACAAAUUUGUAAAGUGUUCUUUUGGCACGUCCUAUGUGGUAUAAUUGUACUUUUUGUGCUCGUGUAAACUGGAACCUCGCUCAAUGUAAAAAUUAGAUUUUCUUGAAAAUAUUAUUAGCAAUUCCAACUUGUCUCUCAGAUUCGAAUUUCCUAAUUUAGUCACUAAUUUCCAGUUCUCAUGCCCAAAACUAAAUAUUAUAGCUUCAAGAAUGAAUAUUAUAACAGAUAAAGACUGAAAGACUUGCAUUUUUAUUGUGCCUUUCAAAUUGGAAAGUAGAUGCAGCUUGCGUUUGCAAUUGCAUUGGUUAGUUUAUACCUUCAGCUGAAUCCUAAUGUUUUGACUGAAUCAAUUUUGUUGAGUUUCAUAGAUUUCCCCUGUCCACUGUCGUUCCAAAUCUGCCUCAUUAACUGCCUGCCCCUGCCUUAUGGCUCCACUUACAUCCAGAAGAAUUGCUACUGCUGAAAUAUUGGAGAAUGGACUGGCAUUCCUGGUGCCAGUGCUAUUGCCAUUUUUUAAAAGCCUUUAUGGACCUGGAAAAGCACAGCCAGUCUGGAGCUGCCUUUCGUGGUUCAUGACAUUUACCCUAGAUGUAAUAAUAAGGGUAUAUUGGUGCACUGCUUUGUAGACAUGGAUCUAAAGGUGUAAUAGGACCACCAGAGAAGGCCAUGAUGCCAUACCGUGCUCACUUGUUCCACUGUUGUUACUUAGGUCAGUGCAGUCUCUGCCAUCUGGAGGAAUACCAAGCUGUGUAGGAACAAG